UACGGAGGGGGCUAGCGUUGUUCGGAAUUACUGGGCGUAAAGCGUACGUAGGCGGCUUUGUAAGUUAGAGGUGAAAACCCGGGGCUCAACCCCGGGCCUGCAGCCGAUACGGGCAGACUAGAGUUCGGCAGGGGAGACUGGAAUUCCUGGUGUAGCGGUGAAAUGCGUAGAUAUCGGAAGGAACAUCAGUGGCGAAGGCGACUUCCUGGACCAAUACUGACGCUCAGGUGCGAAAGCGUGGGGAGCAAACAGG
rnacentral:rRNA from 1 species